GCUAGAAGCGCCGGGCUGCUGACUCGUGUUAGCUAGCCACGGAACAAGAUGCAACAACUAAACAAAGCAGGAGUUUCCAAAAUGUUGUUGAAGUUUCUCAUAAGUCGCCAUUUUGAUGUCACCAAAGGAUCCUGCUCGCUGACCAUUGCCAUCACUGUGGACAGAAUACAAUAACACCAGGUAGGCACCUCACAGAGGAGGAGCCAGGGCAUGGAGGCAGAGUGGAACACAGAAGACAACUCCCCAGCCAUGGCCGCGUCAUCGAGGGGCGAUACGUUCCCCUGUACCAGCUGUGCGACCAGGUGGGGGGGCCAGCUACAAACUGUUCUUAAGUCUGCCUCAUUAAGUCUGGCUCUCCUCUGUGUCAAGGCAGGUGCUUCAGGUGUUAAGCAAUUACCUACGACAUAUAAAGAAGUGUGCUGUGUGAAGGACUUCCACACCCUGCCCUUCCUACAAAGAUUUGUGCAAUAAAUGCCCUUUUCGGCUUUCUGGUGAGAAUCAGGUGCCACAAAGUGUGUGUGUGUGUGUGUGUGUGUGUGUGUGUGUGUGUGUGUGUGUGUGUGUGUGUGUGUGUGUGUGUGUGUGUGUGUGUGUGUGUGUGUGUGUGUGUGUGUGUGAGUUAAAAA